AUGGGGGAACUACAAUACCCAGAAUGCUGCGUGCUGCAGGCCGCCCCUUGCUGACUUAGUGGCUGCAACCCGAAGCUUCAGACUACAGGAGGGGUUCCCUACCACGGCGGGAUUCUUUCCUUGACUGCAGGACACCCAGGCAACUUUCACAGGCACAAGGAGCCACCAGAACACAAAAAGCAGUUGCUUAAUGUCUUUGGUAACUUUCCUUCUGAGUGUUGGAGCAGAAGGGACUUCCUGAUCAAACCAGCCUGGAAUAGAGGUGGCUGCCACGUUGAGCAACCUGGAGAAACAGCCAAAUGACCUUAACGACCCACCACAAAAGCCGACCUCUGUCAACCGUAACACUCGGCUUUAAAGGCCGACUGCCUCGUGGCUUCUCUAACAUCUCACUUGCUUACCCGCCCCACCCUGUGGAUCUGGAGUAUAAACUGAAGAUGCAAGCUGGACCCAGUACCGGAGCCUUUCAGGAGUGCCCUGGCUUCAGUCCACCAGUGAGAUCUCUCUUCCACUCUCACUGGUCUCCGAGUGCUUAUUCCAGAAAGAGUCUACAACAAAGUCUCUCCUGAGAUCUUGAAUGGGCAAAUAACUUGGUUUUGGACUGGCGGACAGGAACUUUGGCAUGAGCAGGUACAUUUCGGGUUGGUUUACUGAAGCUGAAUGCAGGUGUUCAGUCCAAUGGAAUGGCCGUCUAAUAUGUUUUACUUGACAGUCCUGUCUUAGGUUUACUGCUGUGAAGAGACACAUGACCAUAAUAACUCUUUUAAAAGAAAACAUUUAAUAAGGGCUGUGGUACAGUUCAGAGGUUUAUUUCAUGCUCAUGGUGAUGGGAAGCAUUAUGGCCCUCAGGAGGCAGGGAAACGCUGGGCCUGUCCUGAGCAUUUGAAACCUCAAAGCCCACCCUCUAGUGACACACUUCCUCCAACAAGGCCACACCCACUCCAACAAGGCCACACCUCCCAAUAAUGCCUCUCCCUAUCGGCCAUUUUCAUUCAAACCACCACAAAUUUCAAGAUCACAAACAGAACAAAACAUCACUAAAACACAUACGUUCUAAAGGUAAGAACAUCACAACUUGCUCCAUCCCUGGUUUAUAAAUUCUGAAAUCCCUCUCAGUGCCAUCUAUGACCAACCCUGCCUCCAGAGCUACCCUGAUAAUCCUCUACUGUCCUGAGACUCCAAUUCUUUCCUCCUCUUGGGAUGACAAAGCAACUGAAGGGGGAAAGCAUUUGUGUCAGCUCACAGUUCAAAGUACAGACGGUCACACUAGGAAGACGGGAGCAGGAAUUUCAAGUUAGCUUAUCAUAUUGCAUAUAAAAUUAGGAAUGGGAAAGGAUGAAUACAAAAUUAGGGCUGACUUUAUUUCUCCAUUUAGUGCAGCCAGAAUCCCCUGUCCAGGAGAUGAUCCCACCCUCGUUAACUAAUGAAGUAAAGAUACAGGGUAAGCAGGGUGGGCGCCUUUAAUCCCAGCACUCAGGAGGCAGAGCAGAUGAUGUCCAGAAGUUUAAAGCCAGCCUGGCACCCCAAGUGAGCGCCAUGCGUUUGUCAGAGAUAGGAAGUGGAACAGGGCGUUAAGUGCUGAGAGUCACGGGGCAUUUGUGAGAGUGAUGGAAACGGUAUGAUUGUGGCAGUGGCUACAUAACUGUGUACAUUUGCCAAAAUUAAUCAAAUUGUACACCUAAAAUAUCAAGUUUGUUGCAUGCAGGCUAUAUCUAAAAAACUGAUUUUUUUCUUAAUUUAAAAAAUUAUAGCGGCACAUGCCUUUGGGCCCAACAGAUCCAUUUAUGAGACUACCAUGAGCUGGAGAGGUAGAUCCGUGGGUAAGAGCACUUACGGCACAAAUGUGAAGACCUGAGUUCAAAUUCACAGCAUCCUGGAUAUGGCUACACUUGCCUAUAUCCCUAGCAAAGACUGGAGGGCUUGUUGGCUCACAGCUUAGUUCCGAUUUCCCUGAGAAACCUUGUUUUAAAGAAAUAAAACAAAGGGUGAUAGAAUGGUACACUGAACUCCUGUGGCCUCCAUGAGUGUAUACACAGGCACAUAUACACACGUGUAUGUACACACACACACACACACACACAAACGCACGCACGCACGCACGCACACAACUAUUCUACAGAUAGGCCUCCCCAUGUAAAGACAGCAUUCAGUGGCUUCUCACAGCUCUGCGUGUGAUGCUUCACUAACAGGAAACUCGGCAGUUAGGGAUGGGGCUGCAAGAGGGACUUGUCACAUGCAGGUAUUUAUCAGUAAAAGCAAAGAAAUAUGUUAGGUGAUCAGAUGGUCUAGGUGAGAGAUGUUUGUGUCCUCUCGGGGAGGGCAUGUAUAUCUUUCGUCCUCUUAGCUGAUGCCUCCACAUUCCUACACCCUUCUCACUUGCAAGUCAUGGCACUGUAGAUACUUUUGCUCCUGAGAAUUUGCACCUUUCGUCUUAAUUCUAAGUUAAAAGGACACAACCACAAAAAGGAAGUUUCCUAGCAGGCAGAAGACCAGGCAGGCACACAGUGGCUUCUGGAUGCUAUUUGACUAAAUAGCCACCAGAUGGCAGCAUGGCUCUGUUCGCAGGCCAAUCCACGACUACAUCUGUCCAAUGAGGAAACCAUUAGCCACAUAAAGGGCGGUUGAGCACUUGAAAUGGGGCUAUUUCUAAUUAAGGUUGUUUUCCACAUAAGACGCGCAUGAUGUUUUGAAAGCAGUAUUAAAAGGGAGCCUAAUACAUCUAAUUAGUGCUUAGCAUUGAUUAUAUGUGGAAAGUAAUCUUGUAUAUACGCAGUUAAAAUUAUUUUCACCUGCUUUCUUUGUACUUUUUGCAAAAGUAAAAAAAAAUGCAAUUAUCAGGAAAUUUAAAUUUACACAUGAUUAUAUAUAUGGAGAGCGCUUCACAAGACCGUCCAUAAACUCUCACAGCAGUAUCAACAUGGAGCCAAAAAGGCAACAUUCCUCCUCUCAGUCCAAAAUGGCAGACUUGUAAAUGUCAUAGAACUCCUUCACCACCCUAGCAGAGCCAGCCUGAAGGAGUAGGUCACACCAAGACCCUGAAAGUAACCAGGGAGCCUCUGGCUGUCCUAGCUAUUUCUUCUUUCGGCUGGGUACAUGAGGCAGCUCCCAUCGGAAGCUGACAGUACCAGCUGUCAGGGUACUUGCCUGUUUCUCUCACUGGUCCUCCAAUCAGUGUAAUUACAGUGAUGAAUAGUCAGAUGAAGUGUCACACGCCUUUAAUCCCAGCUCUCAGGAGGCAAAUACAGUCGAAUCUCUUUAAGUUUGAGGGCAGCCUGGUCUACAUAGUGAGUUCAAGGACAACUAUAGCUAUGUAGUGAGACCCUGCCUUGGGGGGGGGGGGGGAGGAAGGAAGGUGGAUGAAGAGUAGGUUAGUACUAGAAGUCACGUGACUAUCUGUACCUCUUGUUUCUUACACUUUCUCACACAGCCAUCCGCAUUGAGGCCUUACAGGGGUAAAAGGAAGUGUCUUUGAAUAUGCCUCCAAUCCCACGGGAGAUCUGAACCAGUGGUCAUCUGUUCUCUGGCUGCUAGGCAAGAGGUUAGUGCCCUGAGGAUAAGACGUGAAGAACACUGAAUGGGCUAGCUCAAGGCCAGCUAUGAUCCAGAUGAGCCUGCUCAAGGACCCCAAAAUAGAUUUAAGAGCUACUAGGUUUCGAAAGCUUAUGCCAUUCCCAGUGAACCGUGUCUCAUGAAGGUGUCAGCUCUCAGCUACAGCCCCAGCACCAUGCCUGCCUGCCGUCGUGCUCCCACCAUGAUGGUCAUGGACUUUCCCUUUCUUAUCUAAGUUGUCUUGCUUGGUCUCAGUGCUUUGUCACAGCAGUAGAAAAGUAAGGCAGACUACUUGCAUUUAUUUUUAUCAUCAAAAUUUUUGUUUUACUAUAAAGUGUCCAUGCUUCAAUUAAUGUCUAUAUGUUUUGUAGGUAGUAUACUUAAAGACCUUCCUGAGGUUUCUUUUUUUUUUUCUUUUCCAGAUAAUUCACUGUUAGUCUCUACCAAAGCUAUCAAUUUUUCUAUAUUGACUUUCUAACCUUUCUUUAACAGAAUACUUGGGGGUGUCUUAUCUAGAGCAUACUUGUCAUCUUCCAAUAAGCUGAGGACUGAACCCAGGGCCUUGUGCUUUCUAGGCAAGUGCUUUACCACUGAACUAAAUCCCCAACCCCUAGAUUUCAACUUUUAAAGAAAAUUUGUUGGCAAUCUGUCUUGUGGUGUACCAUGUAACUACUCUGGAGAAUGUUGCACGUUUUAAUGAGAAUGUGUACUCAGCAGCCAUUGGAUGAAACAUUCUGUAAAUGUGUUGUCUGCUUUGGAAUGGUUUAACACUGCUCUUUGAUAAGUUUUGGUCUGGGUGAUCUAGAUUAUUAAAAGUUCUAUCAUUUUAGUCAAUGUUUCUCUAAUACAUAUCUGGGUGUUCUGAAACUGAAUUCAUGUAUAUUCAAAGACAUAUUCAAGGUUAUUUUCUCUUGCCAAAUUGAUCCUUUUAUCACUUAUGAGGUUUGGUUGGUUGGUUAGUUAGGUUUUGUUUUUCAAGACAGGGUGUCUCUGUGUAGAGCUGGCUAUCCUACAACUUUCUCUGUAGACCAGGCUGUCCCCAAACUCAGUAUUCCACCUGCUCUGCCUCCCUAGUACUGGCACUAAAGAUAUGGGCCACCAGAACCCUUCAUGGCUUUCUUAAUUGUUGUGGUUUCUAUCUGAUGAAGUAGUUCUACUCUUGCCUUUAUGAUUCUAUUCAUAUGGGAUAUUUUUUUCACCCCUCCCUUUCCAGGGUCCUUAAGCAGUAUAUAGUUGAAUCUCGCUUUAACUAUUUAGUUGCUCUAUUUUAAUGGGAGAAAUUUACAUUACCCUCAAUUACCUUACACUGAGGUAAUUAUCAAAAAGUCAGACGCUACUAUUGGUAUUUUGUUUUCCAGUUUGAUAAUAGUUUCUAUUUCCCUUCCUCCCAUCUUUCUAUAGCCUUCCUUGUGAAGUGAUAUUACUAAGCAAAUUAUUUUAGAUUCCUUGCUUGGUGUGUGUGUGUGUGUGUGUGUGUGUGUGUGUGUGUGUGUGUGUGUGUACCAUAUUGUUAUUUUAUGGAUGUGGUUGAUAGAACUUUUAAAAUUAUAACCUACACUGAAAUUAUAGCAGUAUAAUAUUAAUUAUAAAAAUAUAGAAAGAUAGCAUCUUAAAAGUUCCUAGCCAUCAUGAUGGCUCAAUGGGUAAAGGCACUUGCUGCCAAGCCUGAUGACCUGAGUUCAAUUCCCAAGACAAGUUGCUCUGACCCCAACAUAUUAUCCAUGCACUCACACAAAAUUCUUAAUUUUUUUGAUCUCCUGUAUUCCAUGUGUGGGGGCACUUUUCUUCUCGUUUUAUGCUUAUUACCUAUUAAGUGUUAAUGUAUGAUCUUCUGCCUCCAUACUGUAACUAUGGUUUAUAUGCUGCCCGACUAGACCAUUUUGAAUGUCUGACAGACCCUUCUCGGUGAGGUUUGGGUCCUCUUCUUACUCUUUCAGGAUAGAGAACUUCUUUGGGGGAUGGGCUAGGAAUGGUGGUAACAAACUUUCUAAUUUGUACCUGGGAUUAUUUUCCUUUCAUUUAUAAGAGAGCUUUGCUAGGAUUAGUAUUCUUAAGCAUAGUCCUUAAUCAGACAUGGAUUUUGCAGACAAAUGACUGGAACUUAAGAAUAUCAUCCUGAGUGAGGUACACCAGUCCCAAAGGACAAGCAUGGUAAGUACUCACUUAUAAGUGGAUAUUAGCCAUAAAAUACUGAUACCCAUGUUACACUCUACAGUCUCAAAGGAACUAAACAAGAAGGAAGGCCCAAGCAAGGAAGUUUGAAUCUCAUUUAGAAGGGGGAAUAGUCAUAAGAGGCAGAUGGGGGCAGGGAACUGAGGGGUAUGGGGAGAGGAAUGGAGGAUUCAGAAUCAGGAGUGCAGAAGGACAGGAGAGAUGGCUAGAUGGUCUUGAAAAUGAAUGGAAAGCUGCAACUAACAUGGGUGAGGAGACAUCUCCAGGACAUGAGAGAGACCUGGAACAAGGGAGGUGCCCAAGAAUCAAUAGAGUGAUCUUAACUGUGACUCACCACACUGGGGAUAUGGAUUGGAACCUGAAGAGGUCACCUCCUGUAGCCAGAUAGGAACUCCCACGGAGCAACAGAGACACCAACCCACUCAUAUAACUUUUAACACAAAACUCAUCCUGUCUAUAAGAAAUGCAGUCACGGGAGAAGAGACUGGGGGGACUAGCCAAUCAAUAUCUGGCCCAACCUAAGACCCACCCCUUGGGCAAGCACCAAUCCCUAAUAGUUAUGCUUGCAGACAGGGGUAUAUUGUCCUGAGAGGCUCCACCCAGCAGCUAAGACAGAUACAGACACCCAUGGCCAAACAGUGAAUAGAGCUUGGGGACUCUUAUGGAAGAGGAAAGAUUACACACCCUGAAGGGGAUAGAACUCCACAUGAACAACAACAGUCACCUAACAAAGGACCCUUCAGGGCUCUGAGUCUGAACUACCAACUAAAGACCAUACACGACUGGACCUAGACUUCCCCAUUCAUAUGUAGCAGAUGUGAAGUUGAACUUCACGUGUGACCUGAACAACUGGAACUGGGGCUAUCCUAAAACCUGUUGCCUGUAUGUGGAAUAUAUUCUACCUGCUGGACUUCUAUCUGGCCUCAGUGGAAGAAGCACCACCUAGCAUCUCAGAGACGAAGUGGGAGAAAUACCCAGGGGUCCCCACCUACUCAAGAGGGGGAAAGGAAGGGGGGACAGAUUGUGGGAGGGGGAACCAGGUGGGCAGUGAGCAAGAUGUAAAGUGAAAAAACUAUACAAUUAAAAAAAAAAAGCCUGUAACCCAA